rnacentral:rRNA from 1 species
GAUGAACGCUGGCGGCGUGCCUAAUACAUGCAAGUCGAGCGAACAGACGAGGCGCUUGCUCCUCUGACGUUAGCGGCGCACGGGUGAGAAACACGUGGAUAACCUACCUAUAAGACUGGGAUCACUUCGGGAAACCGGCGCUAAUACCGGAUAAUAUAUUGAACCGCAUGGUUCAAUAGUGAAAGACGGUUUUGCUGUCACUUAUAGAUGGAUCCGCGCCGCAUUAGCUAGUUGGUAAGGUAACGGCUUACCAAGGCAACGAUGCGUAGCCGACCUGAGAGGGGGAUCGGCCACACGGGAACUGAGACACGGUCCAGACUCCUACGGGAGGCAGCAGUAGGGAAUCUUCCGCAAUGGGCGAAAGCCUGACGGAGCAACGCCGCGUGAGUGAUGAAGGUCUUCGGAGCGUAAAACUCUGUUAUUAGGGAAGAACAAAUGUGUAAGUAACUAUGCACGUCUUGACGGUACCUAAUCAGAAAGCCACGGCUAACUACGUG